rnacentral:rRNA from 1 species
UACAGAGGUCUCAACCGUUGUUCGGAUUCAUUGGGCGUAAAGGGUGCGUAGGCGGUCGCGCAAGUCGGAUGUGAAAUCUCAGGGCUCAACCCUGAAACUGCAUUCGAUACUGCGUGGCUAGAGUGCUGGAGAGGAGACUGGAAUUUACGGUGUAGCAGUGAAAUGCGUAGAUAUCGUAAGGAAGACCAGUGGCGAAGGCGGAUCUCUGGACAGUUACUGACACUGAGGCACGAAGGCCAGGGGAGCAAACGGG